rnacentral:rRNA from 1 species
ACAGCAGCAGCCACGGUAAUACCGAGGGUGCGAGCGUUAAUCGGAUUUACUGGGCGUAAAGCGUGCGUAGGCGGCUUCUUAAGUCGGAUGUGAAAUCCCUGAGCUUAACUUAGGAAUUGCAUUCGAUACUGGGAAGCUAGAGUAUGGGAGAGGAUGGUAGAAUUCCAGGUGUAGCGGUGAAAUGCGUAGAGAUCUGGAGGAAUACCGAUGGCGAAGGCAGCCAUCUGGCCUAAUACUGACGCUGAGGUACGAAAGCAUGGGGAGCAAACAGGAUUAGAUACCCCAGUAGUCCCUGUCUCUUAUAC